GGCAUAGGCAAACGUGGCCCUCCAGAUGUUUUGGGACUACAACUCCCAUCAUCCCUAGCUAACAGGACCAGUGGUCAGGGAUGAUGGGAAUUGUAGUCCCAAAACACCUGGAGGGCGAGUUUGCCUGUGCC